GACGCGGUGGCCUAAUGGUUAGCGCGUUGGGCUCUGGAUCGAGCGGUCCGGGUUCGAGCGCUGGCCUGCGGGUCA
rnacentral:tRNA from 1 species